GAUGAACGCUGGCGGCGUGCCUAAUACAUGCAAGUCGAGCGAACGGACGAGAAGCUCGCUUCUCUAAUGUUAGCGGCUGACGGGUGGGUAAGACAUGGAUAACCUACCUCUAAGACGGGGAUGAUUUCGGAAAACAGUAGCUAAUAACGGAUAAUAUUUUGAACCGCAUGGAUCAAAAGUUAAAGACGGUCUUGCUGUCACUUAUAGAUGAAUCCGCGCUGCAUUAGCUAGUUGGUAAGGUAACGGCUAACCAAGGCAACGAUGCAUAGCCGACCUGAGAGGGUGAUCGGCCACACUGGAACUGAGACACGGUCCAGACUCCUACGGGAGGCAGCAGUAGGGAAUCUUCCACAAUGGGCGAAAGCCUGACGGAGCAACGCCGCGUGAGUGAUGAAGGUCUUCGGAUCGUAAAACUCUGUUAUUAGGGAAGAACAGAUGUGUAAGUAACUGUGCCCGUCUUGACGGUACCUAAUCAGAAAGCCACGGCUAACUACGUG
rnacentral:rRNA from 1 species